rnacentral:miRNA from 17 species
CAGUUAUCACGGUACCGGUGC